rnacentral:lncRNA from 13 species
AUGAACGGGCCAAAACGGACAUGGCAGCAGGUCAAAAUCAAAUACAAGAACAUUCUGCAGAAUGCAGUGAAAAAGAAUACCCACAGACAAGGCACGGGUGGUGGGUCACCAAAGGCUGACCUUACCCCAGCAGAGGACAAGGCCUUGGAGCUAAAUAAAGGCAGGCCCGUCUUAGAGGGGAUCCCUGGGGGGAAAGAGACGAGCAUAGGUUCCUCCCAAGAUGCCACCCGCUUCAUUCAAGUGUCUGGCAGCACUGUGUUCCUGUUAGAGCCACCAGCACAAGCACCAGACGAUGCUGAUCCAGGUGAAGGCCCCAGUGCAGCAGCAACAGCACAUGAUGGAGACGAUGAUGAGGAGGAGACCAUCUCUCUGGAUUCCAGAAGGCAUGAGGACCCAGAUGCUAUACAGUGGGAAAACCAGCCUGGCAACAUAAGCUCACAAGCUAUCAGAAAGUUGUAUGGCAACCACCUCCGGUGCCAAAUAGAACUGGCAGACAUAGACAUUCAGUACAAGAAGAAAAAGAUGGAAAAUCUUGCACUGGAGUUCAAAAUAAAAAAGAGGACAAUUAGGAAACUGGACCUUGAAAUAAAAAAACUUGAGAGGGAGGUGAGAUAUGCCUUCAAUGUACACUGUAUGCUAACUGUAACACAAAUGUAUUAA